rnacentral:rRNA from 1 species
AGAGUUUGAUCAUGGCUCAGGAUGAACGCUAGCGGCAGGCCUAACACAUGCAAGUCGAGGGGUAACAUAGGAAAGCUUGCUUUUCUGAUGACGACCGGCGCACGGGUGCGUAACGCGUAUACAACCUACCUUUUAGCGGGGAAUAGCCCAGGGAAACUUGGAUUAAUGCCCCAUAGUAUAUAGACUUCUCCUGAAGUUUAUAUUAAACAUUUAUGGCUAUUAGAUGGGUAUGCGUCCUAUUAGUUAGUUGGUAAGGUAACGGCUUACCAAGGCAGCGAUAGGUAGGGGUCCUGAGAGGGAGAUCCCCCACACUGGUACUGAGACACGGACCAGACUCCUACGGGAGGCAGCAGUGAGGAAUAUUGGACAAUGGGCGAGAGCCUGAUCCAGCCAUGCCGCGUGCAGGAAGACUGCCCUAUGGGUUGUAAACUGCUUUUACAGAGGAAGAACCACCCCCACGUGUGGGGGUUUGACGGUACUCUGCGAAUAAGGAUCGGCUAACUCCGUGCCAGCAGCCGCGGUAAUAC